GGGGUCCAACUCCAGCAGGUCCAGGGGUCCCCAAAGGUGUGGACGGAGUCGGCGAAGAAGGAAUGACACGGAGACAGCGUUCAGUUGAUCAGCAGCCUAGCCAGGAUCUCUAGCCAGGAUCUCCAGCCAAGUUCUGGUCUGGAUCUCCAGUGAAGUUCUGGUCUGGAUCUCCAGCGAAGUUCUGGUUAGGAUCUCCAGCCAGGUUCUGUGUCCAUGUUCUCUUGCUAGGUUCUCCAGCCAGGUUCUCCAGGUUCUCCAGGCAGGUUCUGUCUGAGAUCUCUAGCCAGGUUCUAUCCAGAUUCUCCUGCCAUGUUCUGUCUAGGUUCUCCAGCCAAGUUCUAUAGCCAGGUUCAGUCCAGGAUCUUUUGCCAUGUUCUCUCGCUAGGUUCUGUCUCUAGGUUCUGUCUUCUGUUGUCUUGUUACAUCUGUAUUUAUACCAUUGAUUUUAAUCCUGUCAAUUUCUAUUGCAAAGGUUAGGGCGUUUCUUAUCUCCAUUCCAGGGAGUAAAGAUUAUGUAGCUUAAGCAUGAUUGUUUGUAGUUAAAGUGAUUAACUACCCGCCUGGCACUUAGUUAAGGAGUUUUAUCCCCUCCCUGACUUCAGGGAAAAAUCCCUAUCUGGGGAAACAACCUUUCUCGGAGAGGUGACCUUGGUUAAAACACACAGCGCUAAGGGGAGCAAACAUAUUAAGAACAGUAUGCUAUAUAUGCCAGGUCCCUUGAAACAUAUGCUGUGCAGAUGUUUCUUUCCUGCAGCGACUGUGUCAAGCAGCAAGGAUGGACCGGCUUCC